CAAGUGAAAAUAGAGUAUCGAUGUAGUGCCGGUGGAUUGGUUGAUAUAUAAUGAAGGAUAAGAUAAAUUCGAAUGCCCAUUUUUAAAUAAUUAUGAGCUAUCGGGAGAAAAUUUACUUCUUCUUCAAGAUUUGGUGAAGCGUCGGGCGGCACCAGCAUCGGAUAAUUGGAGUCUUCAUGAGGUGGAUGUACGAGAUUACGCGAAUACAUAUUAAAUUGCCUUGGAAAAGUUAAAAAUAUUGCAACAAAAGGAAUAUGCGUUUUCUACGGACAAUGAAGAAACCAUAAACAGAAGGCAAGAUGUUCUGAAAAAACAAUACCGCUUGAAUAAAGGGCGUUUUGUAAAUCAGAAUAACGUCGAUCAGCAGUUGUCGGAAUGUAACAUAAAUUUAGGCAAUAAGUCGCGCAAUGCUUCAAUGUUUAAUGUCUUAAAGACAGUGAACUUGUGAAGUGUUUAUAUGGUAUAAUGACAACUGAAUCAAUUAAAAAUCCGCAGUUGAGCCCUAUUAAAGAGCAAGCAUUUAACCAAGCCCUCGGGAAGGUUAUAAAUUAUUCCCGUGAUUGGGAGAAUGGGAGAGAUCAUAGGCGG